UGCGUAGGCGGGAGAUUAAGUCAGUGGUGAAAUCCUGCAGCUUAACUGUAGAACUGCCAUUGAUACUGGUUUCCUUGAGUAUAGUUGAAGUGGGCGGAAUGUGUAUUGUAGCGGUGAAAUGCUUAGAUAUUACACAGAACACCUAUUGCGAAGGCAGCUCACUAAACUAAUACUGACGCUGAGGCACGAAAGCGUGGGGAGCGAACAGGAUUAGAUACCCUGGUAGUC
rnacentral:rRNA from 1 species